CGUGAUAGCAGGACAAGGGCGCGCGCGCGCAGUUUGAGCAUGGGAAAGGCUCUUCGGUACUGGCGGCGUUGAGAGCGCGAGUCGAUCUGCAUCGGGAGGAGGUACUACGGCAGGCGGGGAGGAGUUCCAAAAAGUGGCCAUCUACACUGUGCGGCUGGAGGCCCUGGAGUGCCGCAUGCAGGUCCUAGAAGAGAGUGCUACAGCCACUGCUUUGCCUUCCCCGGACCCCCUCUCCUAGUGCCCUGCGGUGUAUGUGAUUCAUGUUUUGCCUUCCUCUGCUGGAGCAGCCCAGCCAACUCAUGUCACUUUCAUGCAUGAGCCACUGGCCGGCCAUCUGAGGUAGCCACAUUCUUCUUCAGCCAGAAGGGGCAACCAGGUAGUGCAUUCGUGGACUGUCUGAAUCAGUAUAUAAAACCAGAGGAACAUCAGGUUUUUCCAUUUUACACACCUCCAGCACUGCUUGUACUUCUGUAGCCUGUGCCAAGUGUGGCUGGGUGUUAGAACCUGCAAUACAAAAUCAUUAUUCACCCUUUUUUCAUAAGAAAGAAU
rnacentral:lncRNA from 1 species